rnacentral:rRNA from 1 species
UGGCGAACGGGUGAGUAACGCGUGAGGAACCUGCCUCAAAGGGGGGGACAACAGUUGGAAACGACUGCUAAUACCGCAUAAGCCCACGACCCGGCAUCGGGAAGAGGGAAAAGGAGCAAUCCGCUUUGAGAUGGCCUCGCGUCCGAUUAGCUAGUUGGUGAGGUAACGGCCCACCAAGGCGACGAUCGGUAGCCGGACUGAGAGGUUGAACGGCCACAUUGGGACUGAGACACGGCCCAG